CACGUAGGAGGCGAACGUUAUCCGGAUUUACUGGGCGUAAAGCGCGUGUAGGUGGUUUGGUAAGUAGGGCGUGAAAGCUCCUGGCUCAACUGGGAGAGGCCGUUCUAAACUGCCGAACUAGAGGAUGGUAGAGGGAGGUGGAAUUCCGGGUGUAGCGGUGGAAUGCGCAGAUAUCCGGAGGAACAUCAGUGGCUAAAGCGGCCUCCUGGACCAUUCCUGACACUCAGACGCG
rnacentral:rRNA from 1 species